GACGAACGCUGGCGGCGUGCUUAACACAUGCAAGUCGAACGCAGUGGCGAACGGGUGAGUAACACGUGGGUGCUCUGCCUUGCACUUCGGGAUAAGCUUGGGAAACUGGGUCUAAUACCGGAUAGUGCAAGAUGAGCUCGCGGCCUAUCAGCUUGUUGGUGGGGUAAUGGCCUACCAAGGCGUCGACGGGUAGCCGGCCUGAGAGGGUGGACGGCCACAUGGGUACUGAGAGACGGACCAGACUCCAACGUGAGGCAGCAGUGGGGAAUAUUGCACGAUGGGCGGAAGCCUGAUGCAGCGACGCCGCGUGGGGGAUGAAGGCCUUCGGGUUGUAAACUCCUUUCUACAGGAACGCGGUACCUGUAUAGGAAGCACCGGCUAACUACGUGCCAGCAGCCGCGGUAAUUC
rnacentral:rRNA from 1 species